rnacentral:rRNA from 1 species
GGAAUAUUGCGCAAUGGGCGAAAGCCUGACGCAGCAACGCCGCGUGGAGGAUGAAGGCCCUCGGGUCGUAAACUCCUGUCAGAAGGGACGAAAAGGUGCGGUCAAAUAGGCCGUACUGUUGACGGUACCUUCAGAGGAAGCCCCGGCUAACUCCCUGCCCGCAGCCGCGGUAAUACGGAGGGGGCAAGCGUUAUUCGGAAUUAUUGGGCGUAAAGCGCACGUAGGCGGCCUGGCAAGUCAAAGGUGAAAUCCCUCGGCUCAACCGAGGAACUGCCUUUGAAACUGCCUCGCUCGAGGCCGGGAGGGGGUGGCGGAAUUCCCAGUGUAGCGGUGAAAUGCGUAGAUAUUGGGAGGAACACCGGUGGCGAAGGCGGCCACCUGGACCGGUUCUGACGCUGAGGUGCGAAAGCGUGGGGAGCAAAC